rnacentral:tRNA from 1 species
GGGCCUGUAGCUCAUAAGAUUAGAGCACGUGGCUACGAACCACACUGUCGGGGGUUCGAAUCCCUCCUCGCCCA